CUCAACAGUAAAUGUACAUAGUUUUUCUUCCUGUGAAUCAACAUAAACUCCAAAUUAUGGAAGAUUGAGGAAAUUUCUUGUAGGAUUUAGGCCCUAACCUUGAGCUAAGAGUGACAUUGGAGCUGAUGUAAUGACUGUGUCACUAACGUUUAAUUUAAAGUAGAAACCGUAAUAAAACUCUUUACUUUUCGGUCAGUUACAUGGUACCAACCCCCUGUUUUGGACUUAUUUGAGGAAUCAGUCUCUAUCAUUAAGGUCCCAUUUCUAAAGAAACAAUUCAAAUGAUCCACAAGCACUUCUUUUUGAAAAUUCACUAAAAAGGUUAAACAUUUGCCUCUUGUUUUCUUCGUAAAAGAAGUUGCCAGAGUAGAAAAGUAGAAACUAAAUCACAUUUUUUAUGAUCA